rnacentral:rRNA from 1 species
UGGGGAAUAUUGCGCAAUGGGCGAAAGCCUGACGCAGCGACGCCGCGUGAGGGAUGAAGGUCUUCGGAUCGUAAACCUCUGUCAGCAGGGAAGAAACUUUAGUGUGCUAAUCAGCAUUAAAUUGACGGUACCUGCAAAGGAAGCACCGGCUAACUCCGUGCCAGCAGCCGCGGUAAUACGGAGGGUGCGAGCGUUAAUCGGAAUUACUGGGCGUAAAGCGCUCGUAGGUGGUAUGUCAAGUCAAGGGUGAAAUCCCCGCGCUCAACGUGGGAACUGCCUUUGAAACUGGCAGACUGGAGUGUGUGAGAGGAUAGUGGAAUUUCCCAGGUGUAGGAGUGAAAUCCGUAGAUAUCUGGAGGAACAUCAGUGGCGAAGGCGACUAUCUGGCACAUAACUGACACUGAGGAGCGAAGCGUGGGUAGCAAACAGGAUUAGAUACC